rnacentral:lncRNA from 1 species
GCUGUCCUGAUACUGCCUGGGAGUGCCUCCUGUGUGAGUCCUAAAAAACUCAUCUCCUUACCAAGCUGGGCUUGUCCCAGGCAUUCUUUGGCCCCUCAGCUCCCUCACAGCUUGAGGGUAUGUUACAGCCCCACGUUUUUCUUGUAACACAUAGCCUGUGCCCUCCUUUCCCUCCAGCCUCCCCUGGGGAGUGAGCUUUGAGCUGACCCUUGCCUGGGUGGCUUUUCUCUAAGCAUCAGGAAUGUCCUGAGCAUCCUGCCCAACGGUCACAGGCUUGACAGACCUCCGGACAUUUGGCCAGGACUUCAAUUUUCAGAUUUAAUUUCAAACCAAAUCACUCCCAUCACUAUUGUAUUCUAGUGUUGUAUGAACACUCUGAAGAAAGGAUGUCUGCACACACUCUGAUUUUGUACCUGGGGAAACAGGCUCAGGCCAAGUCCAUGCCUUCCUCAUGGUCACUGCGUUGGAAGCCCCAUGCACGGUCUCAGGUGAGCAGCUCAGCUCCCACAGAGGGGCAAUAACAGGACCAGUGACUGCAUCCUCGCCUUCCAGGCGACGUGGCCGCAGCACCCACUGUGAGGCCAGGAAACCUUCGUGACCUGUGGGGCACUGGCAGGUGAGGAGAGAAGGGCCUGGGAGUCGCAUUCUCUGCAUCGCCUGAGCACAGGGGAUCUUCCAGG